rnacentral:piRNA from 2 species
CCGUCCACUCCACGCAUCGACCUGG